UUUCCGUAGGUGAACCUGCGGAAGGAUCAUUAAUGAGUUGUCAUGGGGUUCGAUGCUGGCAGCCAGUUUUUGGAUGCAUGUGCUUGCCCUAACAAUCAUCUUCUUCCAAACCCCUGUGCACAUUUUUGAGGGAGUCUUGAGUUGGUUGCCGCUCUUGGGUGAUUUUCUCACAUUCCCUUAAAUCAUUAUACGCUAUUAACAAUGUUGAACGUGCUCUGUGCCGCAAGGCCAUUAAUAUAAUACAACUUUUAACAACGGAUCUCUUGGCUCUC
rnacentral:misc_RNA from 1 species